GUCUACUUGACUGGCCACCAAGAUGCAUGCCAGUACAUGCAUCCUCCGAUGGCAGAGACCAGAUAGGUCGCAAAACCAAGCUCUCAAGACAUAGAACAAGAUAAAAGGCCUGGACAACAGGCUUAUAGAGAUGCCUGUGUCUUAUGACAAACAACAAAAAGACAGAGACAAGGAAAAGUACUAUCUCUGGGAGGAAAAGGAUCUACAACCAGCUUGUAACUUCUUCAGAAACUCUUAUUUAGACCAUCCUCAAUUCAUAAGGCUGAAGAAAAAAAGGAAGAAAGAGGCAAACAAGUAUAGAAGCACCCUUGCCCCAAAUCUAGCAUCUGAAGCGUCAUCUCCACAAAUAUUAGUAGAAAAAGCUUUGGCCAUCUAAGCAGGUGCGUGAACCUCAAGAUAUUUUGGGAACCCUGAGAAAAGUGUAAUUCAUCCAAGUAUAUAUAUAUUGCAGAAAUGCUUCUUAUUAAAUACCUGGUUGCUUGCAUCAUAGGCUUAACUUUGGGAUCCCAUCUGUAUCACUGUAUCCUGAAAUUGGAGACCACUGUUGAAUUGGACUAACCUAUUCUUUAAGCCAAGAGACUGGCUCAAGGAGAUGGAGCAACCUACCAACUCAACUUCUGGAAUGUAAAACUUGUCAUGAAGUUUCAAAGGCAGGAGUAAAGGGGUUCAAAACUGCCUCCCCAAGAUAUGCCACUUUGGAAUGUGGACUAUUUUGAGCUAAAGGCAAUCGAGACCCUAAAGUCUCAAGAAAAAUUUUAUACCUUUUUGAAGAAUUUAAAUUGGGAGCUUU
rnacentral:lncRNA from 1 species